UACGAAGGGGGCUAGCGUUGCUCGGAAUCACUGGGCGUAAAGCGCACGUAGGCGGCUUUUUAAGUCAGGGGUGAAAUCCUGGAGCUCAACUCCAGAACUGCCUUUGAUACUGGGAGCUUGAGUCCGGGAGAGGUGAGUGGAACUCCGAGUGUAGAGGUGAAAUUCGUAGAUAUUCGCAAGAACACCAGUGGCGAAGGCGGCUCACUGGCCCGGUACUGACGCUGAGGUGCGAAAGCGUGGGGAGCGAACAGG
rnacentral:rRNA from 1 species